GCUUAAAUAGUUUAAUAAAAAAUGUUGACUUGUGGUGUCAUUGAUAUAAUAUUUAUUUUAGGUU
rnacentral:tRNA from 1 species